CCGACCUUAGCUCAGUUGGUAGAGCGGAAGACUGUAGAAUCUUUAGGUCGCUGGUUCGAUUCCGGCAGGUCGGA
rnacentral:tRNA from 1 species